UGGGGGAAUAUUGGGGCAAUGGGGGAAACCCUGACCCAGCAACGCCGCGUGAGGGAAGAAGGCUUUCGAGUUGUAAACCUCUGUCCUAUGGGAAGAAGAAAGUGACUGUACCAUAGGAGGAAGCUCCGGCUAACUACGUGCCAGCAGCCGCGGUAAUACGUAGGGAGCAAGCGUUGUCCGGAAUUACUGGGCGUAAAGGGUGCGUAGGCGGCGCAGUUAGUCAGAAGUGAAAUAUCGGGGCUUAACUCCGGGACUGCUUCUGAUACUGCUGUGCUCGAGUGCAGGAGAGGUAAGUGGAAUUCCUAGUGUAGCGGUGAAAUGCGUAGAUAUUAGGAGGAACACCAGUGGCGAAGGCGACUUACUGGACUGUAACUGACGCUGAGGCACGAAAGCGUGGGUAGCAAACAGGAUUAGAUACCC
rnacentral:rRNA from 1 species